UUGCCACAUAUGUGUCAUAUGUUGCUACAGAUGUGUGAUAGGUUGACACAUAUGGCAUAUGUAGAAACAUUUGUGUCACAUGUUGCGACAGACGAUCAUCUGUGGCAACAGAUGCCUCAAAUGUUGCUACAGAUGACCAUAAAAUAUUGCUAAAGAUGAUGAUUUGAGGCGAAUGUUUGACCAUUUGAGGAUAUAUUGCUACAGAUGACCAUAAAAUGUUGCUACAGAUGACCAUUUGAGGCGAAUAUUUGACCAUUUGAGCGAUAUGUUGCUACUUAUGCGUCAAAUGUUACUAUAGAUGCCUCAAAUGUUGCUAUAUAUAUAUAUAUAUAUAUAUAUAUAUACACACACACAUCUUCAUUUCAAGAAUAGGGUUUUCAAUUUUUUCAUCCUUGCCACUUUAGUUUUGACGCUUUUUUUCUUUCUCUCUCUCUCUCUCCGAUACGACCUCUCGCUUCUCAUGGAUCUCGAAUGUAAUGAUAUUUUUUUUCAUUUUCAUCAGUCUUUUUUAUUUUUUUUCUUAACACGCAACUAAUUUGAUUGGCCUUUGGGUCUAGGGAAGAAUGUGCUUCUAAAAUAUAGAUCUAAUGAAUGAGUUUUGUUUGUUUAAUUACUUUUGAUAUGAUGUCAAAUGCAAUACUAAAAAUUUUUAAUGAUGAAAAUGAUACCAUGUUGGGUGUGAAAAUAUAUUGCAAACAUGGAGACUUACUUCCAAUGCAAACUUCAUGGUCAAGGACAAUCCAGGUCGAAGAUUUUGGUCUUGUCCACACUAUCGUGAGAAUGCAUGCAACUUCUUUAGAUGGAGGGAUCGUUAAAAUGUUGAUAUACGAUCUAAGUUUGUUAUUCUCAGAUUGGUGAACAAAAUUAAGAAGCUGGAAACUGUUGAUGAAAGUCAUAUUAAAAGAAGUACCGAAUGAGGGAUGAAGGAGAAGAAGAAGACCAAAUGUUGUAGCAUGUGGAAGCUAAUCUUGGUGUUUUUUUCUUGUAUUAUUAAUCAUUACCAAGAAGAAUAUUGUAGAGGAUAGAGAAUUCUUAUGUAGUUGUGUACAACCAUCAAAAUUAUCAUAGUUGUGGAAAUAAAAAAACGUAGUUUUGCAUUCAUGA